rnacentral:rRNA from 1 species
UACGUAGGUGACAAGCGUUGUCCGGAUUUAUUGGGCGUAAAGCGAGCGCAGGCGGUCUAUUAAGUCUGAUGUGAAAGCCCACGGCUCAACCGUGGAGGGUCAUUGGAAACUGGUAGACUUGAAUGCAGAAGAGGAAAGUGGAAUUCCAUGUGUAGCGGUGAAAUGCGUAGAUAUAUGGAGGAACACCAGUGGCGAAGGCGACUUUCUGGUCUGUAAUUGACGCUGAGGCUCGAAAGCGUGGGGAGCAAACAGG